ensembl:lncRNA
UGAAUGGGAAGGGGGGAGAGCUGGGCUGGAGCACUACAGCUUGGAGAAGCUGUUAUUUUCUAGGAAUUUCCUAGGGGUCGGUGGUGGAGCUCUGGAAUGAAAGCCAGCUGUGGAGGCUUGUCAUCCUCAGGGGAUACUUUAUCUUGACUCCUCUCCCACCCCUUUCUCCUCCCCUCCCCCAGCCUGCUCUUAGCUGCUUGAGUUGAAUGCAUUAACAGGGAAUCUCUCUCAUCUUCCUUUUCAUCCUCUCACCCCCAACGCUUCUGGGGGUUGCAGAGGAGUUGGUGACUUUGGGUGUGGACUUGCUGCCUGUUACCUUCUGUGGAAUAAAGGUAGGAAAAGCCCAGGUUUUGGAAUCAGAGGACCUAUCUUCAAAUACUGGCCAUUCCACUUGUGUGACCUUAGACAAGUCAUCGUCCUUCCAUGGGACUCAGUUUUCUCAUCUGCAAAAUGAGGGAGAUUGGACUGGAGGAGAUGUAAGGUCCUUGCCUUUCCAUUGUCAUCCCAGGAUUCUGCUCCUCCCUUCCUCUAUAGCCUUGGCUGCUGGGGACCUUAGUAAGAGCAUGCUCAGACGAAAUGAGGUCCCUGAUUUCAGAGGGCUGGACCAAUGGAGAGAUCAUUACUCUCCUGGACUCUAUGGGAAAGUGACCAGCUGUUUACAUGAGCCCUGCCUGCUUUCAAAAUGCUUGGUCCUCUGACCCUGCCUCAGCUCCUGGUCAUGGGUCCAGAUCUGCUUACAUCCUGUGAUCAUUUGCAGCAAGAUAUGGGAAGAUUUCUUGGGUUCCCAGAACACAUGAGGGAUUAGACAUUAACUUCUGUUCCAGAAAGGACUGUCACAGCAAAACUCUGUUAAAUAGUACCUCAAGUUAAGGGCAGU